rnacentral:sRNA from 12 species
UGGGUUGGUCGCAAGACUCAGGUUCAUCAUGGGCGGGGAAGUUCCCC